GUCAUUGUCCUGCCACCCACAACACAGGGAACCAGGUUCAUAGCAAUUGAACAUCUGACAUCGUGAAUGCCAAUGAAAACAAGGCAUUUUCCUGCAGGGGAGGAACAAAUGGGAGAGUGGCAGCCCCAUACCUGGCCCUGGUGGAACACUGCUAACUCCUCUUCAGCCUCCAUUGCCAUCAGUGGCACCCGGGGUGCCAA